CAUUGAAACACCGGUUCCAGUACGAAUACCGAAGUUAAGCAAUGUUGAGCCUCGCCAGUACCUAGAUGGGUGACCGCUUGGAAAUACCAUCUGCUGUAAU